rnacentral:tRNA from 1 species
GUGACCGUAGCUCAAUAGGCGGAGCUCCGGAUUGUGGCUCCGGUGGUUGUGGGUUCGAGCCCCAUCGGUCACCC